CCCUUAGAUGUCCUGGGCCGCACGCGCGCUACACUGACAUGUUCAACAAGCCUCCUAGUUCGACAGGAUUUGGGAAAUCUUUGAACGCAUGUCGUGAUAGGGAUAGAUCAUUGCAAUUAUUGAUCUUGAACGAGGAAUUCCUAGUAAACGCGAGUAAUCAGCUCGCAUUGAUUACGUCCCUGCCCUUUGUACACACCGCCCGUCGCACCUACCGAUUGAAUGUUUCGGUGAAGAUUCCGGAUAGGACUUUUUUGAUUUAUUUCAAUUUUGUCUUAAAAGCUAUCUAAACCUCAACAUUUAGAGGAAGGUGAAGUCGUAACA
rnacentral:rRNA from 1 species